UACGAAGGGGGCUAGCGUUGCUCGGAAUCACUGGGCGUAAAGCGCACGUAGGCGGCUUCUUAAGUCAGGGGUGAAAUCCUGGAGCUCAACUCCAGAACUGCCUUUGAUACUGGAGAGCUCGAGUCCGGAAGAGGUGAGUGGAACUCCGAGUGUAGAGGUGAAAUUCGUAGAUAUUCGGAAGAACACCAGUGGCGAAGGCGGCUCACUGGUCCGGUACUGACGCUGAUGUGCGAAAGCGUGGGGAGCAAACAGG
rnacentral:rRNA from 1 species